GGGCAUAAUGUUGACGCUAGAGCCAAAGUCGCAGAGUGCUUCUGGGAAGUCUACCUUGCCGAUAGAGAUCGGGAUGACGGUGCGUCCUAGAUCGUCUCUCUUGACCGGCAGAAGGUCAGUAAUUACUUCUACAAUGGGGUUACUCCAGUAGUUACGUUCUCAAGCAUCUCAGGGCAGUGAUUGCCUGAGUGUCCAGUAUCUCUAGUGUGUUUGUGCUCGUAGAUCUAGGUUCUUCACUUGGUGGAGUCUGGGAGUUGUAAAAGUCCUUCAUAUUUUGCUCGAAGUGUACCUGCUCAUAGAGAUAAGGCAGAGAUCAAGUGCAUGGGCCCUGUUGGUGGAAAACACCAACAAAACCUAAAGUGUAU
rnacentral:lncRNA from 1 species